rnacentral:rRNA from 1 species
ACGGUAUAACCAGCACUAAUGCACCGGAUCCCAUCAGAACUCCGAAGUUAAGCGUGCUUGGGCGAGAGCAGUACUAGGAUGGGUGACCCCCUGGGAAGUCCUCGUGUUGCACCU